rnacentral:rRNA from 1 species
UACGUAGGGCGCAAGCGUUAUCCGGAAUUAUUGGGCGUAAAGAGCUCGUAGGCGGUUUGUCGCGUCUGCCGUGAAAGUCCGGGGCUCAACUCCGGAUCUGCGGUGGGUACGGGCAGACUAGAGUGAUGUAGGGGGAGACUGGAAUUCCUGGUGUAGCGGUGAAAUGCGCAGAUAUCAGGAGGAACACCGGUGGCGAAGGCGGGUCUCUGGGCAACAACUGACGCUGAGGAGCGAAAGCGUGGGGGAGCAAACAGG